UAUUAAAAGCCAAAAUCUCCCGAGCAGAGAGAGAGAGAGAGAAACAUAACAGCCCUAAAAACUCGCCAGAAAUGGAGUAUGCGAUCGCGGCGAAGAGGAUUGGAAGAAUCCUCGAUCAUGUGUCGGGAUGCGAAGGCGUUCCCUCACCGAGCUCUCACCUCACAGCCAUGAACUGCAGCAGCACUCUGAACUCCAUGGCUCGGAGAUACACUGAUAGAACCAUCAUUACCCCUGAAGACUCAGUUUCACAAGCUGGUUAUAUGCAGCAUGCAUCAGUCAAAGAGAAUCAGGAAGAACCUCUAUUCUGUAGAAGGGCUUGGGAGAAUACUAACAUCCCCGAUUCAGGAAAUGUUCAUUUAUUGAAGCAAGAUUCUACUUCAUCUUCUAUUGAAGCUCUUAAAUUUUCUGGAACAAAUAGAGGGAAAUUGGAAGAGGAACUGGUCUACAGUAAGACAUCACGCCCGUCUAUAUCUGAUGUGGAUACAGGGCUGGUAUGGUCACCUCGAAUUGAUGUUGCAGAAUCUAGCUCUAGUUAUGUUAUUAUUGCAGAACUUCCUGGCGUCAACAUCAAUGGAAUAAGAGUGGAGGUUGAUAAUCAUAAACUUACUAUAACAGGGAAGCGUGUAAUGCAGCAACAAUGGAGAGUUAUGAAUUCUUCAGGCGAUUCAAACCUAACCUAUCACCGGAAAGAGAUAUUACAGGGCCCUUAUGAAGUCAUUUGGCCUCUCCCAAAGGACGUCAAUAGGGAUCGCAUUUCUGCUGAAUUUGUGUAGGUGCUCUGCUGGUGUAUUCUUAUUCUAAUCUUGACUGACUGAUUGUUUCACUAUUGGUAUAUUUCAUUACAUUAUUACGUUAACAUGAUAAGUGUUCUAAGUGAGUAAUAAUAAACCAGAGUCGACGAAGUAAGAUAAUUAUUCAGAAAACUUUUCUGGAAAUCAUGGGAUGGUUUUCUGCAAAUCUUAGUUCCUAAAAUCUAAAAAUGUUGAAGACACAUUGAUUGAUACAGAGAAAUUAUUAACCACAAAUCUUGUAAGAUCAGCACUGAAGCACAGAAAAGUCAGUCCUCAAAGAAAGUCUCCAAUUUUCAAAGGCAAAGUAGGCUAAUUAGAAAGUAUACACCAGUUUAUAUGAUGUAAUCUAUAUGAUUUUGUUGAUGUUCCAGUUUUGCUGCAAACUUCCACUAUGAAAAAUAAUAUUAAAAAAAAAAUCUUUAUUAGCUUUUAUAUAUAUGAAUCAUUCAUCAAUAUAGUUACAUAUUGCGUUUGCCUGCUGCAAAUACUGUACUUAUCUUAGCUAUCAGCUAGAACUUCAUAUUCUGAUUUUGAAA